GGGUUGUGAGGUUAAGCGACUAAGCGUACACGGUGGAUGCCCUGGCAGUCAGAGGCGAUGAAGGACGUGCUAAUCUGCGAUAAGCGCCGGUAAGGUGAUAUGAACCGUUAUAACCGGCGAUUUCCGAAUGGGGAAACCCAGUGUGAUUCGUCACACUAUCAUUAACUGAAUCCAUAGGUUAAUGAGGCGAACCGGGGGAACUGAAACAUCUAAGUACCCCGAGGAAAAGAAAUCAACCGAGAUUCCCCCAGUAGCGGCGAGCGAACGGGGAGGAGCCCAGAGCCUGAAUCAGCAUGUGUGUUAGUGGAAGCGUCUGGAAAGGCGCGCGAUACAGGGUGACAGCCCCGUACACAAAAGCGCAUGUGCUGUGAGCUCGAUGAGUAGGGCGGGACACGUGGUAUCCUGUCUGAAUAUGGGGGGACCAUCCUCCAAGGCUAAAUACUCCUGACUGACCGAUAGUGAACCAGUACCGUGAGGGAAAGGCGAAAAGAACCCCGGCGAGGGGAGUGAAAAAGAACCUGAAACCGUGUACGUACAAGCAGUGGGAGCCCCACCACCAAAGCAUUCUCUGGUGUUGAAGGCCCUGCAAAGCAGCAUCGCGGUGGCGGAGCGUCGUUUGCGACGCCCAACACACAAAACAAGCGGUGAAUGCUUUGGGGUGGGGUGACUGCGUACCUUUUGUAUAAUGGGUCAGCGACUUAUAUUCUGUAGCAAGGUUAACCGUAUAGGGGAGCCGGAGGGAAACCGAGUCUUAAUUGGGCGUUAAGUUGCAGGGUAUAGACCCGAAACCCGGUGAUCUAGCCAUGGGCAGGUUGAAGGUUGGGUAACACUAACUGGAGGACCGAACCGACUAAUGUUGAAAAAUUAGCGGAUGACCUGUGGCUGGGGGUGAAAGGCCAAUCAAACCGGGAGAUAGCUGGUUCUCCCCGAAAGCUAUUUAGGUAGCGCCUCGUGAAUUCAUCUCCGGGGGUAGAGCACUGUUUCGGCUAGGGGGCCAUCCCGGCUUACCAACCCGAUGCAAACUGCGAAUACCGGAGAAUGUUAUCACGGGAGACACACGGCGGGUGCUAACGUCCGUCGUGAAGAGGGAAACAACCCAGACCGCCAGCUAAGGUCCCAAAGUCAUGGUUAAGUGGGAAACGAUGUGGGAAGGCCCAGACAGCCAGGAUGUUGGCUUAGAAGCAGCCAUCAUUUAAAGAAAGCGUAAUAGCUCACUGGUCGAGUCGGCCUGCGCGGAAGAUGUAACGGGGCUAAACCAUGCACCGAAGCUGCGGCAGCGACGCUGAUGCGUUGUUGGGUAGGGGAGCGUUCUGUAAGCCUGCGAAGGUGACCUGUGAGGGUUGCUGGAGGUAUCAGAAGUGCGAAUGCUGACAUAAGUAACGAUAAAGCGGGUGAAAAGCCCGCUCGCCGGAAGACCAAGGGUUCCUGUCCAACGUUAAUCGGGGCAGGGUGAGUCGACCCCUAAGGCGAGGCCGAAAGGCGUAGUCGAUGGGAAACGGGUUAAUAUUCCCGUACUUGGUGUUACUGCGAAGGGGGACGGAGAAGGCUAUGUUGGCCGGGCGACGGUUGUCCCGGUUUAAGCGUGUAGGUGUGUGUUCCAGGUAAAUCCGGUUCACUUUAACACUGAGGCGUGAUGACGAGGCACUACGGUGCUGAAGCAACAAAUGCCCUGCUUCCAGGAAAAGCCUCUAAGCAUCAGGUAACAUCAAAUCGUACCCCAAACCGACACAGGUGGUCAGGUAGAGAAUACCAAGGCGCUUGAGAGAACUCGGGUGAAGGAACUAGGCAAAAUGGUGCCGUAACUUCGGGAGAAGGCACGCUGACACGUAGGUGAAGUGAUUUACUCACGGAGCUGAAGUCAGUCGAAGAUACCAGCUGGCUGCAACUGUUUAUUAAAAACACAGCACUGUGCAAACACGAAAGUGGACGUAUACGGUGUGACGCCUGCCCGGUGCCGGAAGGUUAAUUGAUGGGGUCAGCGCAAGCGAAGCUCCUGAUCGAAGCCCCGGUAAACGGCGGCCGUAACUAUAACGGUCCUAAGGUAGCGAAAUUCCUUGUCGGGUAAGUUCCGACCUGCACGAAUGGCGUAAUGAUGGCCAGGCUGUCUCCACCCGAGACUCAGUGAAAUUGAACUCGCUGUGAAGAUGCAGUGUACCCGCGGCAAGACGGAAAGACCCCGUGAACCUUUACUAUAGCUUGACACUGAACAUUGAGCCUUGAUGUGUAGGAUAGGUGGGAGGCUUUGAAGUGUGGACGCCAGUCUGCAUGGAGCCGACCUUGAAAUACCACCCUUUAAUGUUUGAUGUUCUAACGUGGACCCGUAAUCCGGGUUGCGGACAGUGUCUGGUGGGUAGUUUGACUGGGGCGGUCUCCUCCUAAAGAGUAACGGAGGAGCACGAAGGUUGGCUAAUCCUGGUCGGACAUCAGGAGGUUAGUGCAAUGGCAUAAGCCAGCUUGACUGCGAGCGUGACGGCGCGAGCAGGUGCGAAAGCAGGUCAUAGUGAUCCGGUGGUUCUGAAUGGAAGGGCCAUCGCUCAACGGAUAAAAGGUACUCCGGGGAUAACAGGCUGAUACCGCCCAAGAGUUCAUAUCGACGGCGGUGUUUGGCACCUCGAUGUCGGCUCAUCACAUCCUGGGGCUGAAGUAGGUCCCAAGGGUAUGGCUGUUCGCCAUUUAAAGUGGUACGCGAGCUGGGUUUAGAACGUCGUGAGACAGUUCGGUCCCUAUCUGCCGUGGGCGCUGGAGAACUGAGGGGGGCUGCUCCUAGUACGAGAGGACCGGAGUGGACGCAUCACUGGUGUUCGGGUUGUCAUGCCAAUGGCACUGCCCGGUAGCUAAAUGCGGAAGAGAUAAGUGCUGAAAGCAUCUAAGCACGAAACUUGCCCCGAGAUGAGUUCUCCCUGAGACUUUAGGUCUCCUGAAGGAACGUUGAAGACGACGACGUUGAUAGGCCGGGUGUGUAAGCGCAGCGAUGCGUUGAGCUAACCGGUACUAAUGAACCGUGAGGCUUAACCUUACAACGCCGAAG
rnacentral:rRNA from 1 species